UACGUAGGGGGCAAGCGUUGUCCGGAUUUAUUGGGCGUAAAAGGCUUGUAGGUGGCCACGCCAAGUCGGAUGUGAAAUCUCCCGGCUCAACUGGGGGGGGUCAUUCGAUACUGGCGGGCUCGAGGCCGGUAGGGGGAAGUGGAAUUCCCGGUGCAGUGGUGGAAUGCGUAGAUAUCGGGAGGAACACCAGUGGCGAAGGCGGCUUCCUGGACCGGUUCUGACACUGAGGAGCGAAAGCGUGGGGAGCGAUCCGG
rnacentral:rRNA from 1 species